CACGGUAAACGAUGGAUGCCCGCUGUUGGCGAUAUACAGUCAGCGGCCAAGAGAAAUCGUUAAGCAUCCCACCUGGGGAGUACGCCGGCAACGGUGAAACUCAAAGGAAUUGACGGGGGCCCGCACAAGCGGAGGAACAUGUGAUUUAAUUCGAUGAUACGCGAGGAACCUUACCCGGGCUUGAACUGCAGGAGAAGGAUACAGAGAUGUUGACGCCCUUCGGGGCUCCUGUGGAGGUGCUGCAUGGUUGUCGUCAGCUCGUGCCGUGAGGUGUCGGCUUAAGUGCCAUAACGAGCGCAACCCUUUUCAUUAGUUGCCAUCAGGUAAUGCUGGGCACUCUGGUGAUACUGCCACCGUAAGGUGUGAGGAAGGUGGGGAUGACGUCAAAUCAGCACGGCCCUUACGUCCGGGGCUACACACGUGUUACAAUGGGGCAUACAGAAGGCCGGUCCAACGCAAGUUGGAUCCAAUCUAUAAAGUGUCCCUCAGUUCGGAUUGGGGUCUGCAACCCGACC
rnacentral:rRNA from 1 species